rnacentral:lncRNA from 1 species
GUUCCUGUUGCAGAGGAUCCAGGACCCUCCAGGGUCUCACCUGUUGAAGAUGAAAGAGAAGCAUCCCAUUCUUGGGCAACAGCGCCGCCUGGUGGAAGAAACAAAAACGACAGCGUCUGAGCCCACAGAGUUGAGGGUAAAGGGGAUGCAGGCUGCUGAGCUGCCCCAGGGCCUCCUUCCUGUCUGCACUUCUCCAGGGCUCUCUGGUCUCAGGCCGCCCUGCUCUCAUCAAACUUACAUCCAGAAGAACUUUACGUGCUUUUCCACCCGUGGGAAGAAAACUCCCGGUAAGAGGGGAGGUAGGAGGCAGAGCCAUGGGUGCUAAAAGGAGCUGCAAAGCCCCAAACAUAGCAGUUCCAGAACUCGGACAGGGACCAUGGUGUUGGUUCUUUGAUGUCAGCUACAUGUGGGGAUAACUAAAACCUCAAAAUGGAGCACACCAUCUUGAGGCUUUUUGCUUAAUUUGAAGUGGGAAGAUCAACUUCUGAUCCUUUUCUUUGAGGUAGGAAGA